rnacentral:miRNA from 1 species
AAAACCCGAAGGAACUUUUUG